rnacentral:rRNA from 1 species
CAAUAGCGUAUAUUUAAGUUGUUGCAGUUAAAAAGCUCGUAGUUGGAUUUCGGGUAGGAUUUGCCGGUCCGUCUUUGAGAUGUGUACUGGUAAGUCCUAUCUUCUUGUCGGGGACCAGCUCCUGGGCUUCACUGUCCGGGACUGGGAGCCGACGAAGUUACUUUGAGUAAAUUAGAGUGUUCAAAGCAAGCCUACGCUCUGAAUAUAUUAGCAUGGAAUAACACGAUAGGACUCUGGCUUAUCUUGUUGGUCUGUGAGACCAGAGUAAUGAUUAAGAGGGACAGUCGGGGACAUUCGUAUUUCAUUGUCAGAGGUGAAAUUCUUGGAUUUAUGAAAGACGAACUUCUGCGAAAGCAUUUACCAAGGAUGUUUUCAUUAA